UUUGGGGUGUGUGUGUGUGUGUGUGUGUGUGUUGCCCUAGGAAGGGUAAAGAAAGGCUAUAGUUGUCCUCAGUGGGAGUGGAAAAGUUGGGCCAUCGCCGCGGCCUUUGAUUUAGCGAUGCUUCUGCUUCACAACCCACCCUUGCUCUGGGGCAGCCGGAUGAUGUUACCUAGUCAGGGACUUUUCUACUUUAUUUACUACUGGCUUCGCUCAUCUUCCCCCCACCCACGGGGACCAGGAACCAACAGUCGGGCACUCUUAAGAGCACGGGUUUGCUUCCCACAAUUUCAAGAGCUUGUCGCGUCAACUUGCUACAACUUUGGCGGAGUUGGAAUGCGGCAGAGUCUCCCACCCUUGAGUAGAGUACCUGCUGCAGCCACCACGUUGAUGGUCGACAAAUUUCAACAAAAGCCUUGAGGAGUACACCAUAGCUUUAUUUAACCGGGUGCAAGUUUCUGCGGCGAUUUAAGAAAUGGACUUAGAAGACUUUUCUGCCUCUCCUGUCCAGCCACAGCUAGGACAGUUGCUCCUGGCUUACCACUGCUGCACCAGUUCUAUUUUCUUUGCCUUCCAUUCCCAAUGAUUUAAAUCGCCUUUAAUAAUCUUUUUAGAGUCAUGUAUUGCUGAGAUAAUUUCUUUGAACUGUGAUUUAAAUUGUAGAUAAGAGGAAAGAUACUUGCUCAGUGGAAUGUGUGUAAGUGGAAUAAAAUUAUUUGUGAGAGAAAAGCACCUGGGCAUUUCUGGGAGACGCACUUCGCAAGUUUUCUUUCCAACUCUCACAUCAAUUUGAUUUAUUGAAUGCCCUUCCAAUGGAAAGGAUCCUGGAAAAUAGGCCUUAAGUUCUGAUAUUGGUCCAGGAUCUCACAGAGUAAUGAUUUAGUGAGAAUUAGCCAAUAUUUUGCAUGCAGUCAGUUUAGUAUCAGCUCACAUCCAGGUCGAUUUUAUCUCGCUUAACAGCUCAAAUCUGGGUUAUUGCAUAACAUUACAGUUUAAUCGGUCUGGAAUACUAACUGGCAAACCUGUCUUCUCCUUCUCAAGGUCCUCUAUUUCCCCUUCCUCCCACCUCCAAGGAAACUAUCUUAAAAUCAAGUUUCCCUUUGAGAGUUUGUUUACCCCAACUUCUGUUAAACUAGACUAACACUCUCUCAUCAGCUUUGUGAAAUGGUGCAAAAACAUCUUGGAAUCCAAGAUGGCAAAAUAAACUUGAGCAUAUGGGGGAAGACUGCCUUGUUAAGAAACUGAUUUAAAUGUUUAGCUUACACUUCAGCCUCAAUGCUUCCCUUACUGCCCACUCUUACUUCCCUCACUGCCCACCUCUGGUUCUUGGGUACCCCACCUCUAUUAGCAAGCUGGUUCCCCCAGCAUGAAUUAUGAAUGCAUAUCAACAGGCUCAUCAGCGGAGAUAAAUCAGAGGCUUUCUCCUUUGCACAUUUCUGCUUUUAUUCCCAUCGAAAGGUCUUUCUGCCCCAUGCUAACACUGUCUUUCUGCAAACUUACUAUCCCCAUGUAAACUAUGGAGAUAUAUUCUCAAUUGGAAAAAUCAGGUAAUUCCCUCCCCCCUCACCUCCAAGAAAGCCUUUCAAGUUAAGGAUACAAAAUAUUUCAUGGUUAGUUGUAUGAGCUUCCAAAUUAGCUGCAUAUAAAGUAUUUUAAGAUUUUUUUUUUUUUUGGCUGUCACUGGCUGGCAAUACUCAUUUUGUGUGUGUGUAUGUGUGUGUGUGUGUGUGUGUGUGUAUGUGUGUUGGUUUGAAAAGCAGGAAGAAAUGUAAUGAAUUGAGUGCUGUCAGAGAUGUCUUCUGUUUGAACAGUCUGCGAUGGGCUGAAUGGCAGGGACUCCCUCAUCCAGUGCAGGUGCAGUAGAGCUGGGGAAGGGGGGAGGGGGGGCUCCCUCUGUUCAGUCAAAAAGCACCAUUCUCCACAAUAGACCACACACUGACAGCCAGCGUGACAUCAACUCACACUUUCAUACUUUUCCCCCCAUCCUUAGUUCUGAGUUCACAAAGUGGCUACACAGUAGCCUUGGUUAGGCUCCUUUAAUGAACAUUUUGUGGCUCCUAUGACCAGCAUUGAAAUCCGCGGAGCCCUGGGAGGAACAAAUAGAUUUUUAAUCGUGAGUUCCAAACCAGAAUGUAUAGCUAUAGAUAUUAAAAAUAAGCUGGUCUCUACAUUCUCUCCCAAUGCCAAUGCCCACAGCAACGCCAGAUGAUCUGAAAACUCUGAGUUAAAAGUUCAUCUAAGACUUCUCAGGUUCCAAGACACUGUUUUCUGUGUCCUGAGAGAGAUCAAACAGGAAAGGAGAGAAUGAGUAAAUUUUAUUUAUUUAUUUAAAUGUAAGAGCACCUCUAGUAUUUUAUUAUGCUUCACGAAGAGAGUUAAUCCUACAAAUGAAUGAACAUUAACCUUGUGGAGUGGAGUUCUGCUCCCUUUUGAAUUGGUUUUACUGGGAAGAAGAGGGUUAGGAAGGAAAGGCAGCAACUGUUAUAAAACUCUGAACAAAGAUGCCACCACCCUUUGGCUGCCCCUCUGCUUGCAAGGAAUGGACCUUCCAAGUGUUCUUUUUCCAUUUGCUGAAGCCCAGGCCCUGGGCCUCAAGUUUUAGAUGGAAUUACUCAAGGAGGGCACACUACUAGACAAACUCUUCUAGUCAGGUCCUUCAGCCCCGAACCAGUCCCUGCUCCUCUCUGCCACCACCCACUUCGCCACUUCUUAGUCCCGGCUCUGAAGGUUUUAGCUGAAAGAGGGAGGAGCGAGGGAAAGGCCACGCAGGUGAGGACAGCUCCCUCAAUGCCCCACCGCGCCUGGAGAGACCCCGCCACCCUGUCGCUGGCUGACUCGGUCCCCUGUGCCUUGGCUUGCUGAAGCACUCGCCCAGUAAAAUUCCUCACUGCCUGCUUACGUGUGUGCAUUUUGAAAACACAUGCACAUAUCCAUGCUUCGUCACUCAGCAAACAAAAUAUCAACAUUCUGACUGCAGGAGCAAAACGUUUCAGCCAUUUGCCAGAAUAGUGUUCAGUAGGUGGGGGCGGGGAUAUACGGGCCUCCUAGGACAGCGGUCACCACACCCCUCCCUCCCGCAUGGCACCAGGAAUGCGGGGCCUAGCGGCGCGGGGCGCAGGGCUGGAAGAUGUGAUGUGCAGGAUCCAACUUAGAACUCAUGUUUCAUUCAAGAUAAGGCUCGUGGUUUAGGAGAUUGUGACCUGGCUUGCAUCAUUCCAAGACUUCUAUCAUCUGUUUUCCAAACCCAAGGAGGACCUCGUUUUCUGUGUGAUAGCUUCUCAUGCUUUGCCAGCCACUGGGUCUUUUAGGAAGCUUGCCAAGAGUUCCCAGCUGAGGACAGUUCGAAUUCAUCACGGACAGUGAGCUGGCACCACAGUUUAAGUGACUCACCAACCUGGUUGCCCACUUCAACAUAUUAAGAACCACACUACAUAAUUGAAAGAACUGUGUUUCAGCAAAGUGUAACUGGAUUGCCCGGCAAGAUCAGCUCAAACUGUGCCUCUGACCUGGCCUUUCAGCGGCUGUUUUGAGCACAAGAGGAGAAAGGAAAUGGUUCCGAAUUACAUUUGGUUUUUAAAAAUUAAGAUUAAUUGGGCCGGGCACGGUGGCUCACACCUGUAAUCCUAGCACUUUGGGAGGCCAAGGUGGGUGGAUCACGAGGUCAAGAGAUCGAGACCCUCCUGGUCAACAUGGUGAAACCCUGUCUCUACUAAAAAUACAAAAAAAAAAUUAGCUGGGCAUGGUGGUGCGUGCCUGUAAUCCCAGCUACUCAGGAGGCUGAGGCAGGAGAAUUGCCUGAACCCAGGAGGCGGAGGUUGCAGUGAGCUGAGAUCGCACCAUUGCACUCCAGCCUGGGUAACAAGAGCGAAACUCUGUCUCAAAAAAAAAAAAUUAAGAUUAAUUAAUAAAUACUUGGUUUCAUGUUCAUUCCACUGUAGGAACUUAAUGAUUAUUACAAAACAGUCAACAUAGGUCAUAGUAAAAUGAACAUUUAAGAUGAGGUUAAAACAUUCCUCUGAAAUUUUAGUAUUCACUUUUGAAGUGUCAAUUACUAUAUUUCUGUAAUUGCUCAUUUUUUUCUUGGCUCAGAGUCAAGAUGAAAAAUGGUAUUUGAAUCAAAGACAUUGUUUGUUAUAUAGCCACUGCUUUCUAAAAUGCACAUCCACCAGUGCUUCAUUAUUUGUGCACACAUACACACCACACACACACACACACACACACACACACACAGCCAGCACCCAAAUGGCAGAGGAGGUCCUUCCAAGACGUCUAGGACCUGGAUUAUGUACGUAGCAGAUGAGAAAAUGAAAUAAGAGAUAUAGAGCAAUAACAAUAAAACUCAAUGAUUGCAGUUUAUAAAAAGUCAUUGUGUAGUACUCAGAUAUUUUUAAAGGCAAGUAUUAUUAUGAUUAAAGUAUAUUACACUUCUAAAUUAUUAUAAUUCUCAUCUAAUUUCAAGUCACACAUGGGAGCCAUUUUAAAGCAUUUUGUAUUACAAUCUAUCAGCAAAAAUCAACUAAUAGAGUUUUAUAAUGUGCAUAGGUUUACCCCAUGGGGAAUUUAAAUUUUUAUCUGCAAGUAUUUCUAUUGCUGUGAGACUUUAGGACAAGACAACAUUUGGUAUUAACACAGAAGAAUAUUCCAUGGCUUUUCUUUAGCUUUAAUGCUCUUUGCUCUAAAAUGAAGUAUACAUGGUAUUUGUUUUCUUCCUGGUGGUCUCUUGUCAUAUGUAGAGUAUUUUCAGUUGUUUUUAACGUUUACAUUAUUUUUAUUAAGUCAUUUGGUAAAAGAUCAAAUAUAUAAUAAUGGCCCCUUGCUUUUCUCCUAAUUUAAUUAUUUCAAAUCAAGCAAAAUUGGACACUUUUCUUUCAGGGAAAAGAAAAAAAAAGUCUUGAACAUGAUUUUGAGGCAAAAAUGAUUACUUACAGCAUCUUUUAACUCUGACAGACUAGCAUUUAUGAUGGUUCUUAUUUCUAAGUUGAUUAUUCUCAAAGAAAAGGGGAGAUAUUAGAAUUUCCAAGUAAAUCGCAUUGUUUUAAAAAAUACUUGAAUGCGUUGUUCAUAUUGUUGCCAGCUAUUGACCAAGAAAGAGAUGAAGAAAAAGAAGCAAAAAAGUAGUAUCUGCUCCAAAUGUCAAAUUUUGCAGUUUGAAAGACUUGUAAAUUCUAAUUGUUUUUCUUUUUCUUUUUUGGAAAGCAGUAGUAAUUAAUACCAAAGGCAUAGACAAUUUGGGACCUCCCUUCCCACCGCCCCCAACCUUUUUUUUUCUUUUUUUUUACUUUAACCAUGAUAGGCAUCUCUGCAAGGUAGGUUUUAACAUAUUUUUUUCCUAAUUUUUUUCCCUCCAUUCAGUAAGAAGGAUAAGCUUUUAGAGUACCCAGUCACCGUGGUAACUGCCAAAAAAAUUCUCCUGAAGUUUGAAGAGGUCAGCUAGCAGGGCCAGCAACCCUGGCCUCUGUGAGCGCCGUCUAGCAUGCCCCAGCCUGCGGUUGGGGUGUCAGGCCAGAUCUGACCCUGGGAGGUGGACCAUUCUGGCUCUGAUAUAAAUUUUUCGAGUCAGUUCAUGGCCUGGACUCUCCAGGUGGCCUCCAAAAUCGAUUUUGACCCCCUGACCCUGUCUCACGGAGGCAUAGCAUCCACCCUAAGUAAGGAUUUAGCCAGGAGUGACAGCUUUCCACUGAGUGUUAUUGGGGACAGUAUAAACAGUUUGGAAAGCACGUAAGAAGGUGUGAGUGCUAGAAGUCAUUAAGAGCACAUUAAAAAACAAUUUUAAAAAGUAUUUAUCAAAAGAAGUUUAAAAUGUAUGUCUGGUACAGAAUUCCUGUGAUCUGUAGUUUUCCAGCCAGUUUUGAAUAGAAGUAGGUCACAUAUGUUUAUCUUUUUGCAUACUUUAUUAGAAAUAUUUAAAUAAGAUAGGCACGCUUGCUACAAAAGAGGUAUAGCAGGAAUGUAAUAUGCUCAGAAGAGGCAAGCUAGUUAUUAAAACACAUUAACAGGUGAAGAGUUCCUAAUAUUUUAAAUACUAAAAUUUUGCAUGUAUGUUUUGAAAUGUUUAAAAUGGAAGAAUAAAGAACCUUAAAAAAAAGCAACAACCUACAGUCUGGAAUAAAGAUAAACUUGUUGCACUCAAGGUUUCUACUUUGUAAAACAAGAGGCCAAUACACUCAAUUGAAUAAAAAUGAGAGAAAAGCAUAGAGAGUUACAUCUUAUAGAGCUAAAGAGGAAUCAAACAAACAAAAAAAAGUCUCUGAAUAACUUCAUGUAUUUUCAACAGCUUAAGAUAUCAGAAACCUAGAAAAUAAACAUGACAUAUAUACAUCAUCAGUGAUUAUUUCCUUUUCCUUCCUACACCCCCCUCCCCCAAAGAUGCCACCCAGACUGUCUUAUUUUCUCUAGGAAACUAGAGUUCUCUUUGAGAGUUCUAGCCUGUGAGCUCGGGAUGUAAAUGUGGCCGUCAGAGAGACAGAAGUGUCAAGAGGAAAGAUUAUGUUUCUCUUUCUUAAAAACAUUCACCGCAUUUCUUCUUCCAGUGCUUUACUCAGAGUUCUCCCCUUGUCUCAGCUCUGUUGAAAAUGGCUUCAAAAACAAUGCUGCAGUGGCUGAACUAAUUGUGCUAUGAAGUUGUUGAGAUGCCAUUUCAUCUGAAUGCUUUGUAAAAAUUAAAUUUUUAAGUAGGGGUGAAUGUCCUUUUGGGAGAGGGAACGGAGCGGGAAGAAGAAGAGGGGAAGGAUGGAGCAGUUAGUAUAUAUGUAUUUUAUAUAUAUAUAUAUAUUCUGUGUUUGAAGGCCUCUGUGUCUUGGCUUCUCACUACGUUAAAUCCCUAUUAUAAAACUUAUCUUCACAAAGCCUAUUAUAGUAUUCUGAGAACAAAUUGGACCAUGAAUAACUUAGUUGGAAGUGUAGAUUAUUUUCUACUCAGGGGAAGUUAGAGAUGACAACAGCUUAACUGAAAGAAUGGUGAUUAAUCUUAAACAGCUGGAUUUCAAAGUUUCACCCUUGUUAAAGCGUACCUUUGAUAUUUCCCCUCUUCAGACUCACGUCUCCACUCUGUUUGUGUUCAGAAUUAUCCUAGUGAUUCCACUGUCCCCCUAAUAUAGCUCGAACUGUAGAUCAUUUUUUUCCAGGUUGUUAAUCUGUCAGAGAGGUGACCAGAAAGAUGCUCUACUUCCUAUUGGUUAAAUCAGUGAUUCCAAAGUGGUACUAGGCUUAGAUACAAAAGUCAAAGAUAAAAAUGUCUUGCAGAAAUCAUAGUUCACUUUGAUAGAAUUCUUAUUUAAACUUUUUAAUUUGCUUAAUGCCCUAUAGCUUACAAAGCACUUUUGAAUUCAUAAUUUUGUUUAAUCCUUAGAAUAUUAUAAGAUAAACAAAACUCAUCAAUCCCAUUUUACCUGUGAUUGCACACUGUGAUUGAGCUAAUAGAGGGAAGAACAGAGAUACCAACUCAGAUUUUAGCUUCUGUUUCAAGUGAUUAACCUGUAGCAACAGCUUUUGGGUUAUUUUUGUGUUCUGUAUCCCUGAAGAUCAAGAUUUUGAAUUAUAGAGCAAAUAUUUUAUAUCUCACAAAUUAAAAAAUUUUGAAGACAUGACUGAAAAGAAUUCUAUUUACUUAAAAGUGAAUUUUACCAGGUGUUUUUCUCCUUUCUAUAUAUAUGCUUCAAUAGUCUUUGAGAACUGAAGGUUUUAAUUUCCAAAAGUUAAAUAUGGAAAGCUCUAUGUAAAUUAAAUAACCACCUGGAAUUUAAACCAUGUAUAUGAAAACCAUAGAUUCUGUAUUUCAAAAUAAAAUAUAACAUAAGGCUUUAGAAGCAGGUUCUGCAUGUUGAGUGAUUAUUUGAGAAUAUACCAUUGAUAAAGCUCUUCAGUGUUAGAGGUGAGUUUUCCCGCCAAUUUAAAAAAAACUUUUAAAAUCUUGUAACAUCUUGGCAAGUUUUGAUAAAGUCAUAUAGAACUACUCUUGUUCCCUUGGGCUUUUACUUUUUGUGUUUAAAAAAAAAGAGGUUUGCAAAAUAGAAAAAAUAAUAAAAGGAUUAGUUAACUUGACAUUAAUGUAACCUAUCUAAACAUUGCAGAAAUCAAGAAAUACAAAUAGAUGACAUUAUUUUAUUCUUCUUAGGUUUUUAAUUAUAUUGCUUUAAACAUGUAAUUCAGGCAGUGUGGUUGUUAAUCUGGAAAUUCUUAUUUUUUAUUUCUUAAAUUAUGUAAAAUUAAAUUAGUCAUUUUAUAUAUAUUUAA